ensembl:lncRNA
UAGGAACCUAUACAUGCAGAAAGCAAAUAAAAACAAACCCUGAACCAUUUUUUCCAGGCCUUUCCUGCCCUUCUGCUUGUUCCACACGAUAGUCUCAUGUACUGUAACAGUGCACCACUCACUGGCCCAAGCACUCCUGAAGCUGAACUGACCCUCAGCUAACACAGUGCAGUCAGAAGGAAAUGGUCUCUUCUUUUUGUGCAGCACUUUGUGAAGUUUCUGCUCUGUGCUCAGCACCACUUCCUUAAUUUUCAUAAUCUCAUAGCACUCUAAAUGUUGUCUGGUAACACUACUGAUUGUUACUAUAAUUUUAAAAUCCCUUUAAGGACUCUUUGACCCCUUAAAAUGAGCCUCUUAACUUUGCCUCAGAACUGAGAUCACUGAAACCAUUAGAGUUUAGUUGCUUUAUAAUACACCUUUCUCCAAACAUAACCUUCCUGAGACAGUGACCCAUGCUCCACGCAGUAUUCUAGCGAGGCCUAAUAACCAUCUUCCAGAGGACUGUAUUGCCUCUUUCCUGGUGCAUUAUAGCUCAUUGUUCCAUCAGUUUAGUGUCUUGUUUGCCUUUUUUAUUGCAGCUGUGCACUGAAGUGACGGUUUCUAUGAUUUUUUUCCACGGUUACCCCUUUUUCUCUCUGAUCAGCGUGCUGAAUAUAACACCCCUUCCUUACAUUUGCUCUUUGUUCCCAGACUAAUUACUUUUCAUUUUCUAUACUAAGCAGCAUUUGCCAUCUGCUGGCUCAUCAACUAAAUGAUCCAAAUCCCCUUUGAAUCCGCUCGCGUUGUUCUUUAUCGCUUCUCUGUGCUUCCAGUCUCACUGUCCAACCAGUGGAGAUUUCAGCGUUCAGCAGCUGAGGCACAGGAGCAGAGGCAUGCGAAUCCGCAGGAUCUUCUCACACCUUGGGCAGAGCAUCCCUCCUGGAUUUGCGGCUUGCUGCAUUCAGACGGAAAGGAUGGGUUGGCCUUGGCAAAAAUGAGGCUCACAUAUGCUUCAGGAGGUUUGAGAUAAAGCGUGGCUUCGAGCCCAGGUGCUGCGCUGAGGGAUGGCACAAGGCAGUGUGUUACACCACAGAUCCCAAGGGCUGUGGAUGGGCUGCUGAGCCCCGCUGGUGUGCCCACACCAACACGCUUGUGCUCUGCUCCCCACCUCGCUGUCUCACCACCCACAUUGGAAGGAGAGGAACACACUGUGUCUUCUUCCUGCAACCUGUGCUAUUUCUGCGUGUGUGUUCACACACGUGCAAGUGGGGAAAAGGAAGAAGGAAAGAAAUGGGAACAAAAGCAGACUUCACCUCAGGAAAUCAGUACCUCUGGAGCCAUGGGCAAAACAGUAUGUUUCCUCUCACCUCAAGAGGGCAAUUUCCAAUAUUCCAGCACUAAGAAAUUGUUCUGAAUCCCUUUAUGCAGUGCUCCACGCAUGGAAGAAGCAGGGGUCAGCUGGGGACACACACUGCCUUCCCAGCUCUGAGCACCAGUUGUGGCUGAGUAGUGUGGGAUAAGUGCGGAUGCUCUUAAAGCAGGGUUUAUGGGCAAGCCUUAUGCUGUGUUGAUGUGUGUGCCACAUGGCAUUCUCUUGGAAACUCUUUUCUGUCUUAGUAACAGCCAGCCAGGCUUGCUUGUCUAUUGCCUUCACAUCAUUUUGUUUGUUGUUUCAGGAAAAAAAAUUGCCUGAGAUUACCCAGACUGAGCAAUCUUUUAGAUGAUCUUUUCUGGGCUUUCUCUCAAAGCAUGUCUGUACUUGAGGCAUUAUCAGUUGCCUAUCCAAGAUUCACUCAGGUAAGAGAAGAACUGGACAACCUUUACACAGUGAUUUAAAUUAGGAGCACAAAACACGAAUAAAUCUUUAAUAAAUUACAAAUAUCAGAGAGGAUAACUUGUGCUGUGCCUUUCCUUGGCCAGAAAGCAGCAAACCCAGCCUAACUAACUUGACCUUGGUUAUAAUAAUGAUUGGAGAUACUGCAUUUUAUCCCAUGCUUUCCACACACUUAAAAUCAGUUGAAAUUCCAGGUGCUCAGCAUUUCUGAAAAACAAUUUUUACCUUUAUUUGAGCACAGAUAAUCAGCAUUCACUCCACACUACUCACACUCUCUUUCCUGCUAGGACAGAGUGGUAGGAAAGAAGAGCUUUGCUAAUUCAUGGUAGCAUUCUGAUCCAUUAUUAAUACAUAAGUCAGAGGAGUACACUGCAGGUAUGGGUGGAAAGACUUUUCAUAAUCCUUCUCUUGGUCUUAUGUCUCCAAGAAGAGAAUGAAGCUCCCAGACAUAUGAAAUUUAGCUUCAUGUCUGAAGAAUUUGCAUCCCAGGAAAAAAAGAGAAAGAGAGAGAGAGAGAGAGGGGAAAGUGAUAGCCAAAAUUCAGCCUUUUUUAACAAUAAAAAUUCUGCAAUCUGGUCUAGACCUGUUCUUAUACAUCAUAGCAGUUGAUUUGUGCAGCAUGCAGCCUCAUUAAACCGCCUGGAAUUCAUGAGCACUAUUUGAGCAUGCACCUGUGAUCUUAUUUGAUUCACCGGAACCUUUGAAAACCUCCUCUAUUAUGACAUUCAGACACAGCCUGGCACUUCUAUUUUGCUUUCCCUUCUGCUAAAUUUGUAUCCAGAGAAAGUAAGAAAUUUCACAAAAAGGGAAGGACUGCAAUGUGCCCCCAGUGCAAGUACCACUUUCCCUAUUUAUCUCAUCAUCUGAAGCAACUAAAAUUCUCCAAGAGUACUGCGAGGCCCCUGCCUACAUGCAAAACAAAACAAACAAGAAAAAUAAAUGUACUGAUCAAUCCCUUCCUCCAGCUCACAAGCAUUCUCCGGAUUUCCCACCUCUAGCCUUUGCACAAGAUUUUUCUUUUCUUGUAGUAGUAACCAUUAGGUCAGUUGUUCACGCCAUUUUAUUCUGCUGACGCACUGUCCUCUUUGCCCACGUUAACAUCCACUUACCGCUUGUUUAUCCUUUCCUGAAGCGUUGCGGUAAUUCUCUCUCUCCCUGGGACUCCACACUGGGCUGAGAGCCAGAGUAAGGUAGAACAACGCAAGGUGCUGCCUUCUCAGGAGCUGGCAGUGUUUCCCAGUAGACCAACAAACUCGAGGAUAAAGUGGCCCCUUUACUGCACCUUUGAUGCACUGGGAUUUGUAGGAUUUACAGAAGCAUCCAGAGCUGGGUUUGAAGACAUUGUCUUACCAGGUUUUUCUCAUUUCAGAAUCAUUAAUUUCUCCUACCACACGUUUCCCAGGCAGCCAUUACAUACAAUACUCAGAUUAGGAGCAAAGAUUUGCCUUAUCCAGUUGCUUCUUUUCUCUGUAUUCCUUUCUUUUCCCACAGCUUCUGCAAAUAAGAUGGAGACAGGCUCUGAUCCUGUAAUCAGUCCAUAAUAUGACCCCACAUAAGAAAACUGAUACAUGGCAGAAAGCUGAAAUGAAUAAGAAACCAACUCUUGCCAUCACGUGUUGUAGGAAGCACCUGCUUUUGGCAAGAUUCCAGAAGAGGGCUGGUAUCCAACAAAGCUCCAUGUUUAGUUGGGAAGGAUGAAGAGAAGCAUAUAGCAACUGAAAUCAAGGACUCCAUCUCAUCUUAUUUGAAGUAGAGAUGCAGAACUUAAAACUGAUAAGGAAAUACUAACCUAGAGAGACCAUGAAAAAAACAUCAACAGCAUAAAGGCAUCCAUAUAUAUAUAUAUAUACACACAUAUAAGUGGUAUAUUAUUAUCUAACAAUAUCUUUGAGUACUGAGUCACUGUUUCAGAUUCAUAGAAAACUAGGCUGCAGGUGGCAAUCCACUCAUGUGUAUUUUCUUUUCACAAAAUCCACUUUGCACUGAGGGAAUUGCUGAAAUGGAGAUGCCAGAACACUAUCGGGAUGAUGCAGAAAUCUUUGCAGAUGUGCAAUUUUCAUCUAAAAUAAGUUCUACUACUGCAGUGUCCUAGAGUACUUCAGAACAAAAUUAGCCGAAAUGUAUUUUUAUGUAGUCUUCCCUGUUUCUAGAGCAGAUGCAUCCCUGCUGUAUGAGUGGAGGAGGACACAACCACUUAGCUGCAACCACAUGACUGGCACCAGUUCAGCAUUGCACAAGCCAGUGGUAAUGAGCAAGGGGAAGAGGGUAUUGAGGGAUCUUUAGACUUCUGAAUAAAUCCACACUUUGUGGAUCUGAUGUACUGGUCCACUCUGGCCACUUUAGCACCAUGUCAGAAUGACCAGUAGGGACCACUCUAGAUGAGGGGAUUCCACCCUCAGCAAGUUUGCUGAUUAUACAAAGGUGGGAGGAAUGGCUGACACACCAGAGGGCUGUGCUGCCCUUCAACAAAACCUGAUCAGACUGCUGAGGUUCAACAAGUGCAAGUGUAGUGCCCUGCACCCGGGGAGGAAUAACCAUAUGCACCAGUACAGGUUAGAGACUGACCUGCUGGAGAGGAGCUCUGAGGAGAACUUAAUGGUCCUGGUGGACAACAGGUUGGCCAUGAGCCAGCAGUGCGCCUGGGUGGCCAAGCAGGGCAAUGGUAUCCUGGAGUGCAUUGAAAAGAAUGUGGCCAGCAGGUCAAGGGAGGUGAUCUUCCCCCUCAACUCUGCUCUGGUGAGGCCACAUCCAGAGUACUAUGUCCAGUUCUGAGCUCCUCUGUUCAAAAAAGACAGGGAACUUCUAGAGAGAGUCCAGCGGAAGGCCACAGAGAUGAUGAGGGUCCUGGAGCACCUCCUUUAUGAGAGAAGGCUGUUCAGCAUGGAGAAGAGAAGGCUGAGAAGAAAUCCCAUCGCUGUUCAUAAAUAUCUGAAGUGUGGGAGUCAAGUCCAUGGGGUCAGGCUCCUUUCAAUGACAUGCAGCAACAGAACAACAGAGUAACAGGCACAAACUAGAACACAGUAAUUUCCAUCUGAACACAAGGAAGAACCUCUUUACUGUGAGAGUGACGGAGCACUGGAACAGGCUGCCCAGAGAGGCUGCUGAGUCUCCUCUGGAGAUAUUCAAGACCUGACUGGAUGCCUACCUGUGUGAUCUGCUGUAGGGUACCUGCUUUAGCAGGGGUUUGGACUUGAUCAUCUCCAGAGGUCUCCUCCAACCCAUGCAAUUCUGUAACGCUAAAUUGGAAAAAUAAAGCCAUCAGAAUAGGCUCAUGUGCCAACAUUUUUGUUCUUGUUAGUUGGGCAAGAUGAGGACACAGGAGAAAUACCUGUUGGUGACAUCUUU